rnacentral:lncRNA from 1 species
AUUGAGAUGCUAAAAUGAGAGAGCUAAAUUGGAAAGCUUUUUCCACAUAGGGGGCCGUGAGCAGGUGGCUGUUUUGUCCUCUGGCACCUUUGGCUCAGACUUAAGCAGCUUCAACGACCGCCAAGAUGCCUGCCAUGCCCACCAAGAUUUAAAGGACUCUGAUAAUUCUUUCUCUCCCCAAACGGUGUUUUCCUUAUCUAAUCCUAAUAACCAAGCCUGGAGGAAUCCCUGACUUCGUGAUUGAAGGCUCUCCAGGUCCCCUAGUUUAAGGGCAGAGAUUUACUUUCUCUGAGGCUACAAAGGAGCGUCUGCGAGAAUGUCUCUACCUUAGACAAAACAGGGAGGAGGGGUGGAGCUCUCCAAAUUGCCUCUGGUUUGGGCUUUUUCUUUCUGUUUUGGUGUAUCGUCUCUGGCCAACAACACCUGUGAGUCCUUGAUGUGACGAUUAGGGAAGAUGUUUUUAAUUCACAUAACUAUUCUUUAGAGAAAAUUGAUCCUGAAACACCUUAUUGCCUUAUCGUAGAAUGACUGCAUUACUCAGAAUUCUUUACCUCUACCGGAAUUUAGUGAAGGGAAGGCACAACGUACAUUAGGAAAAUACAGGACACACUCCAGUCCUUAAACCUUCCACAAUCUUCUAGCUCUUUAAGGUCGAGUGUGAUCCUCCCCAGAACUGCAUCUUCCAGGAAGCUCAUGAGAAAGGAAGGAUCCCAGGUCCCAUCUCUGAUCUGAGUCGGCAUCUGCGUUUUAACAGAAUCCUGAAGCAGUGGUCUAACUCCUUUGGUGGUGUUAUUGUUUGCAUGUAUACCUCCAAAAUUCACAUAUUGAAAUACUAACCCCCAAGGUGAUAGUAUUAGGAGGUGGGGCCUUUGGGAGGUAAUUAAGUCAUGAGGGUGAAGCCCUCAUGAAUGGGAUUAGUACUCUUAGAAAAGGGACCCCAGAGAGGUCUCUUUCCACCAUGUAAGGAUAAAAGUACACGGAGAAGAUGGCAAUCUGCAAACUGGAAAAGGGCCCUCCUCAGAACCUGACCAUCUUGGCACCUUGAUCUCAGACUUCCAUCUUCCAGAACUGUGAGAAAUAAAUUUCUUUUAUAAACACUCAGUCAAUGCUACUUUAUUAUAGCAGCCUGAAUGGAUUAAGACAGGUGGUCUGGUUUAAAGUGAUGUGGUGGCAUCAGAAGUUUAAGGAGAGACUGGAUUUACAGAACCAGAAUCUGGGAUGCUGUUUACAGAGCAAGUUAUUUCCUGCAUUUGGACACUGUCAGCAGGUCGAUUCAGGAGACAGGUGAAAACUUUAUCACCGGGCAGCCUGGAUGAACACCACAACUUUGAUAUCUUUCACUUAAAGGAAAGAUAAGGGCAUCCACUAUUUCUACACCUGGCUGGCAGAGUGAGAGCUCACCAAAGCACUUACAAAUUCAUGGACUAUUAUGAAGACAAGUUAAGAGAUUGUGUCCUCCAAACUCAUCAUUUUUCAGGUGAGGACACAAUGAGAGGCACCAUCUACAAAGCAGAGAGCAGACUUCACCAUAUACCAAAUCUGUCUGUGCCUUGAUCUUGGAUUUCUCAGCCUCCAGAAUUGUGAGAAAUAAAUUUAUAUUAUGUAUAAAUUAUACCAUCUAAGAUGUUUGGUUAUAGCCGCAGAUAGGGAUUGAGACUCUCACCAUUGGCAGGGCACUGCACCCUGGACUUGUCACAUAUCAUGAUGUCUGAUUUUUGUGAUAACUGAGUGAGGUUGGCAUUGAUGUUGGCCAACCAACCGUUGACCAACUAAUUUGAGUCUGCUCAAGGUCCCCAGAGUGAGUGAGUGGCAGAACUGUGAAGGAAACCCGUUUUCCUUCAAUUCCAUAGUCUGGGAUCUUGGUGGCCAUGCCAUUUUGCCCUCUGAUAUUAUUUGGAAAUAGGGGAAGAUCAUAGGUUUUAGACCCAGAAAGAGAUGUGUUUGAAUCUUGGCUCUGCUUCUAAUGCAAAUUCUGACCCAAACUCACUACGUCUGAAGUGCUUGCACAUGGGAAGCACCCCAUUACCAUGUGCUUCUUUGAAUAUCAAAUUAUAUUUGUUUAGACAUUAGGAGGUGGUGUUUAUGUAUGGCAAGAUAUUUGUGUAAUAUAUUUAUUCAAAAUACAAAAUAUUUACAGGACCCAGAAGGCUCAUUCAUUUUGUACUAAAAACUACUGACCAAUGGAGAUAUUCCAAAUACACAAUUGCAUCUCACAUCAUGACUUAUAUGCUUUAAAUGAGUUAAACUUGAAUCACUUUAGUAUAUGAACAUUUUGAUCAGCCAGUGAAGCUUUCCAUAAAUGCUAUCAGAUGCUAGACUGGUGAAAAGAUAUAGACAUUAGAGUGAGUAUUGGCCUAUAUACUGGAAAUGUAUUAUGUUAUUAUGAAUUUAUUCUCAUCAAAAUUACCCCUCUUGGCAAAUUCAGCACAUGAUGUCACAUAUAUUACCAGAGGGCCAUUUUCUUUCCAGAGAUAACUAUAAGAUAGAUCAGAAAUAAAAUGAGAGUUGUGAGCGGUCAGGUACAGUAUAAUUCUAUUGGGUAACAUUUCUUUUGAAACACGAGUAUAUAAUAUGAUCAGGGCAAUCAUUUUUAUUAACGAAGAUAGUUUCAUUUUUAUGCUUCCAAUCAUUGCUAUGCUUCUUAAUAGGCUUGGGGUUAUUUUUUUCUUUCUAAAGUGAAGAAAAUGUAUUUCUUCUCCAUUGUUUUACUGAAAUGCAUAAUAUGUGGAAAUAUGUAGGUCAGUAAGAUUCUGGGAAAAAAAUAAACAUAAUAGAUUUUUGCCUCCUUUCUUAAAAAUGCCUUUACAAUUGUUUUGUUGUUGCUAAAAUGGAACAUUUUACAACAUUCUACAUAAGGGAUAAAGUAAGUUUUCAAAAUUAUCAUCAUGUUUUAGACAUAGCAUGCAUAUACUGUACAAAUCUUUUAAGUAAAAUUCGUUUUAUUGCUGCUUCAAUAAAGCUGUUUUCUUCUACCCUACCACUGGCUUACCUUUGAAUCCUUGGCAAAGCCAAAAAUCCUGAAAGGCUAAGCCCCACUUUGGGACUCGCCUGUCCUGCAUCAAAUUCACUCUCCCAGUAGCCAUAUGUGAGAAUUUCAGUCACUCCACAGACAUGUGCAAAUACAUGGGAUUGUCAAUCGUUUCACAAUUUCAUUCAUUCUGGUAGCUGGGCAGUAGCAUGUCGUUAUGGCUUUAACUUAUAUUUUCCUGAUAAGGAAUGCUGUUGAGUAACUUUCCAUAUGCUUAUGGGCCAGUCAGAAAUCUUUAUUUGGAAAUGGUCUGUCUAAAUCUUCUGAAAAUGUUUAAUCGAGUUGUCUUUUUUGUACUAAUUUAUAGGAUUUCUUAAUAUAUUCUAAAUAUCAGUCCUCUGGAGACUAUAAUGUCUCAUUCGUUAUCAUAUCCUUUAACUCUCUUAGUGAUGUCUAGUGAUGAGCAAAGUUUUUUAAUUUUAAUGAUAACCAAUUUAUCAGUUUUUUAUGCCUAGUAAUUUUUGUGUUCUCUUUAAAAAUUGUUGUAUAUCCCAAGCUCAUAAACAUAUUCUUCUUGUUUUUUUCUAUAAGUUUUAUAAUUCGUAUUUUACAGAUCAUCUGUGACCUAUUUCAUAUUAAUUUAUUUGAAGUAGAGGUAAAACUUUAUUUUUAAAAUAUUGAAAUCCAAUGGAACCAACAACACCUAUUUAAGCAACCAUUCUUUCCCGCCAAUGAAUUGCUGUAACACUUUUUCAUAAAUAUGUCGACUGCAUAUAUGGGAUGUACUCUAGAUUCUAGACUCUGUUUUCUAUGUAUCUUUUAGUGUAUUCUUGUGCUACUAUCUUGAUUACCAUAGCUUCGUUGUAAUUCUUGAUAUCUGGUAAAUUAAGUAUUUGGCCUUUGUUUUUCUUCAAGGCUACCUUAGCUGCUUUUUAGGUACUUCGGCUUUGGAUAUAAAUUUUACAAGUCAGUUUCACAAUUUCCACAAAAUCUUUGGUAAAAUAUUGAUAGGGAUUGCACAAGCUUGGAAAAAUGGGUAUCUUAAAAAUAUUGGGUCCUCCAGACUAUAAACAUGAUAUAUUUCCGUAUGUAGGCCUUUAAUUUCUCUGAGCAUUUUUGUUGUUGUUUCCUGUGUAGAAGUGUCACAUAAUUAACUAGAUCGAUUUAUGUGUACAUGUGAAUUCAUUUAUUUAUUUGUUCCCUUACAUUUAAAUUUCUAACUCAUUGUUCCUUGUAUCAUUGUCAGGUUUUACUAAAUUAUGAAAGAACUAUUUGACCCCAAUCCUUGGUCAAGCCAAUAAUAGCAGAAGUAAUUUUUAAACUCUUUCCUCACUCCACAAACACCAACGUAUAUAGAUAACAUUCUACAUCCAUCUUCUUUUCCGUUCUCACAUGUUUUCCCAUGCAUUUCAGAUGCAACUGUUUCUCAGCAAUUUUUUACCAUACUCCCAUGAUGGAACUUCAGUCAUAUCCCUCACCAAUUCAACCAUACACCAUUUCAGGAUUAACCAUUAUUAAAUAUCACCUUCAGCAUAGCAUUUUCUUACCAGAUCUUCAUCUCUUCCUCAUAUUUUCCAUCAAUUAUGUGUCAAAGCUGCACUCUUUCCAGCCCUGCGUCUUCCUCUUCCUCUUCCUCUAUGUGUACUUUGGACACCAAGUCAAACCAGCCACCUUAACAGACCUUAAACAUUACCUUUGCUUAGGCUGCUUAGUGCCUCUGGACUCCCGCUUCUCCCUUGAUUCCUGUCUCUUCUAGUAUCCAUCCCUCAAGAAACAUGGAAGUCAAAAUUGGGUUUUAAAUAAGAUAAUUUACUAGCCCUCAACCAAACACAAUCAAUUGAUUCUUUGAAACCAUAUUGUUCUUUUGAGGGUACAUUUUUUUAGUAUACCCUGGUAGGCUACUAUUUGAGGAGAUAUUUCCCUUCAACCUUCUUCUGACAUUGUUUGGUUUAUCUUUGUAUCCUUAAAAGCAUUCAGCACAGUCUUUGGUUCAUGGUUGAUACUUAAUAAAUAUAUGUUGACUUAAAUCUAAUUUUAAUAGAUCCAAGUAGAAAAGCAUAAUACAGUCGUGCUAUCUUUUCUGCUUGAGUUAUGUCAGCCAUGGGAUCCUGAGAAGACCUUUUGAAGUGCUAAAAUGAAAAAUAGGCAAAACUCCAUUCUGCUCUAGCUAGAGGAUCAUUAAAAAAUUCAGACCCUUCACUUUUUUAAAGCAUAUAAUUUAUGUGCAUUAUAAAGCAACCCUUUGUUUUCACAAGUCAACAUUCUUAAUGCAGUCUGUCAAAGUGCAUUCUCAGUAAAUUGCUUUGAUGAAUAUGCCAGCUCAGUCCAUUUCUUUUAACCUGAAGAGAGAAAGAAAGAUUUUAAAAAAGACUUUUGCAGCAGCAAAAAAGAAAGUAAAUAAAACAGAUCUAGACUUUGCUGCAUAUUUUUAUGUCCAAGCUUGCAAAUAAUUUCCCUUAACACUCUCAUGAGUCAGAACUCUGCCUCCAAAUUUGUAAUUCAAAAGCCUUGUUUUUGUUUUAGAACAGAUAGAGAGUGCCAGUUUCUGCUUCUGCCCCACACACUCACCCAUGAACAGGUCCUGAACAUGCACAGACUUGAUAUGGUUUUUAAAACACAGAUGGGAAAGCCAUCCUCAGUUUGACACACCUAAGCUCCAGCACUUCAAGGUAGUAAGUAAACAAUUCUUUCUUUUCUAGAGACCCUCACUGCAAAAUCUCACCCGGAAGACUUCAAGGACUGGAUAUUGAAAUUGUAUCACAAUCCUACAAGAUAAAUGCACAAGAUAAUUCUUCAAAUCAUUGAGAGUGUAAUCUAUAAUCUUCCUAAACAACGAACAGUAUAGCACUGGUUAAGGAAAUCAUAUAUCAGCAUAAAGAAAUGUCAACAAGAACUAAGAAGGAUCCAGUUCUGAAUCUCGUUAGCAAGUUCAAAGCAAGGCCAAGAAGAUGCAAUUCCCACUGGAAACCUUAUGAGACAGUUAGAAGGGAAGGGGAGCAAAUGUUCACCAGGUGAGCACUGGAACGCAGCCACUGCACAAAUGCAAUCCUGUUCUAUUCUCACAGCAAUCUUCCAUGAGAAGUAUUUAUUACUAUACAUGAAGAAACUCAAGCUCUCCAUCAUUAGGUCACUGUCCAAUAUCACACAGCUGCAUAUAACAGGUUUGAAUUCAAUUUCCUCUGUGUCCAACUGAAAAUCCCACAAUUUCCACUCACGGCAUCCUCCCACCCAGUGCAGGUUUGGUGCAAAAACGUAGGACACAGGAGAGGAAAUUGAGUUUAGGUAAGACUCAGAAAAUUGACGAGUUUUCAAAUUAGGAGAGGCAUGAAAUGAAGAGGAGAAGGAGCAGCUGGGAGCGUGGAGAAGCAUAAACUCCGAAAUAACUGGCUAAGGAAAAUGGGGAUGCACAGACUGUGGCAUAGAAGCACUGAAGAGGGGAGGCAUGGAUUGGAAUGAUACAGGCUGUGUCAAUAUAGGGUCUGUCACAAACAAGCUAUGUAAAUGUGAGAAAAUUAACCACUCUAACUUCACAUUCCCCCUAUGGAAAAAAAAAGGGGGGGGGGCAGGGGCUAAGGAUGUCUAUUUCAAACCAUGUGGCAAUUAAAUAAAACAAUCUAUGUAACUCUAGUAGCCUCAUGGUUGGCACAUUACAUGCAUUAAAAUGCACAUUUCUCUCCCUUUCAUGGAAUCCCCUGAUGCAUCCCCGAACCUUUCUCGGUAGGAUUUGGAAUGUGCAUGCACAGAUUGCGGAUAGAUAGACUGCCACCCUCGUCAUUGCAGAAGGAAACUUGUGAGUUAUGCCCAGUGCAAUUCUUUCCAACUCUGAUUCCACUGUGGUUACUGCUGAUGGACUCUAGGUGGCCACAGAUGAUACAAACAUGUUCCCAUGGAGCCUCAUGUCAUCCUGACAUGCUGUUCCAGUCUAAGGUAACUGCUGUUCUUCAGUUUAGAAAAGGAGCAACUGUUUUGGAUACAUUUUCAGUGCCAGAACUCUUUCUCCACUGCCUUAGACUUCUCAGUGGUGAAGUGAGAAGGAGUUUUGACAGCUACAGAGCAACAUUUCCAAACGAGAAAAGAAAACAAGGCAAACUUUUUAUAAAUUAUUCAAAUAAUAUGUUAAAUUCAAGGAAAAGAAAAUUUCCAUUUUAUGGUGAAGACUGAUGUUUCCUAAGUCUAUUGGUAAGCUGAGAAACUGCUCUGUGAGCUCUUUCAUUGAAAAUAUUGAAUGACCACAGCUGUUAAAUCUUGCUAAAGGUGUCCUCAGUUCACACUACAACAUGCUUGGGUGCAGGGUCUGGAAGCAAUGACAAAUCAGUGAGACUCCAACACUGAGCUGAAAUGUUCUGUUUUUGCAGUGACAUCAGACCUUAUUAUUGCCCCUGUCUUCCUUCCGUCCUUCCCUCUCCAGGUGUAACUACUAACCCUUACUUGACUUAUAUUACCUCUAUAUGAACUUUCAUACUUUUUUUUUU